GAAAAACUUGGCCAAAGAAUCCGAAGAUUUGGAAUUUGAGGUUGGCAUCGCCGGAUGAAUGUCUUGGACAUCUGAUCAACAACUGGGACUGUACAAGCUGAUUCCAGCUCUCCAUAAAGAAGCCAGUCUCCUGCCACUCCACGCCCAGCUCCUCCAUGAUGGAAAACUGACAAGAUUUGUGAAGAAGUCGGCGUCUGCUGACCAGGCUGAAAUCUUUGCUGCUUGGCGGCUGUACAAAGAAGGACAGCUCAGCCCUACUGCGCUACUGACAAUGUGUUCCAGAGUGUAUGCCCCAAGUGUGUUUGAAUGAAUCAAUGAACAGUGUGUGAAUUAUGAACAAAUGAAGUUGUGUGAAUUAUGAAGUUGUGUGAAUUAUGAAUGAAUGAACUUGUGUAAAUUAUGAACGAAUGAACUUGUGUAAAUUGCCAUAUUAUUUUUGUUAAUUAUGUGAACUUGUGUUGAUUAAAUAUAUGUAUUACCAUUACAUGAAAACCUGGCUACAUGCUUUAUUAAUGUUAUGCUGAUAUUAUGCUUUAUGUCAAUAACUUUAUAUCAAUAAAUAAUGUAAAACCUUU